rnacentral:lncRNA from 1 species
UUGCUAGCUGUGAGAACGGACUUGGUAUCAGGCAAUGGUGGAUCUGAAUCGGCCACUGUGUGUACAGAGUGAGGUACAGCCCCUUUGUGCAUUUGCUACAGAAUGCAGAGGAAGCUGACGAAAAAACUUGUGAAAUGUGUUUGAGUGCUGGGCUUGUAGUAAAGGCUCUUCGGUUGUUACCAUUGGGGAAAACGCAAAUACCGCAGCCUGGUCCUUCAUGUGGUAUAGAAUGCAGCUUUCCAAACCCAUGGUGCCACAGAACCCCUGUGGGUGGACUUAGCACGUGUGGCCCUCUGCCUGGCCCUCUGGUGUCCAGCUGGACUUGGUUUCUUUCAGGACGGCUUGAAAACGGCCGAUAAGCUGAAACAGUACAUAGAGAAGCUGGCUGCAGAUUUAUAUAACGUAAGUUCUCUGCGCCGCACGUCCAUUUAACUCGUAGUCAGCGUCAGCCCCAUUGGAAGUCUGUAUCCAAAGGGUAUUAAGCCGAAAAGGCCAGUGGUGUGCCAGUGCAAACCUAGCAGAAAAGCCCUUGUUUUAGUAGCUAACCCUUGGAGGCUGUGAGGAGUCGGGAGACACGUAAUAUAAGAAAUCAAAUAUUAAACUUUUCAGAAGGAAAGUGGAAUGUAUACACAGUGAUGGCAUUAUUAUCACUUGUAAGUAAAGCUGGCUGGUGAAUAUUAAAAUACGUUAGGAAUAUGAGUUAGGAAUAUGAGUACAUACUUUUAGAAAAGGUUUUAGAGUCACAAGUAACAGAUUAGCAUUCCUGAUGGAAGACACUCUAAAAUCUGAAACCCUGAGGACAACUGGAAUGGAAGCAUAAAAAGAAAUUCCACGGGCUGGAGAGAUGGCUCA